GUGGGGAAUUUUGGACAAUGGGCGCAAGCCUGAUCCAGCCAUGCCGCGUGCAGGAUGAAGGCCUUCGGGUUGUAAACUGCUUUUGUACGGAACGAAACGGCUCUUUCUAAUAAAGAGGGCUAAUGACGGUACCGUAAGAAUAAGCACCGGCUAACUACGUGCCAGCAGCCGCGGUAAUACGUAGGGUGCGAGCGUUAAUCGGAAUUACUGGGCGUAAAGCGUGCGCAGGCGGUGAUGUAAGACAGAUGUGAAAUCCCCGGGCUCAACCUGGGAACUGCAUUUGUGACUGCAUCGCUGGAGUGCGGCAGAGGGGGAUGGAAUUCCGCGUGUAGCAGUGAAAUGCGUAGAUAUGCGGAGGAACACCGAUGGCGAAGGCAAUCCCCUGGGCCUGCACUGACGCUCAUGCACGAAAGCGUGGGGAGCAAACAGGAUUAGAAACCCUGGUAGUCC
rnacentral:rRNA from 1 species